AUGAUUUCCUUCUUCCAGUUACCGAAAGGAGUUUUACAUAGAUUGGAUUAUUUCCGAUCAAGAUUCUUUUGGCAAGGAGAUAGCGAGAGUAAGAAAUAUCGACUGGCUAAAUGGAGUGUGGUUUGCCGUCCCAAAGACCAAGGCGGGUUGGGCAUUCAUGACCUUGAGGUUAAGAAUAGGGCCCUCCUCGGCAAAUGGUUGUUUAAAUUACUAACGGAAGAUGGUGUAUGGCAAACCCUCCUAAGGAGGAAAUAUGUGGGUUCCAAGGCGAUAUCCCAAGUAUAUUGGAAGCCUGGGGAUUCCCACUUUUGGGCAAGUCUAAUGGCUACGAAGAAAUAUUUCUUCUGCUAUGGAUCCUUCUCGAUUAAGGACGGCUCGGAAAUUAGAUUCUGGGAGGACAAGUGGCUAGGAAAUGCCACACUCCGGGAACAAUAUCCGGCUCUAUACAACAUUGUACGCCACAAAGGUGAUACUAUCGCCACGGUAAUGGAAUCAUUUCCACCAAAUGUGACGUUCAGAAGAGACUUAAUUGGACCCAGACUCCAAUCGUGGAAUAUCCUGCUCCAACGGUUGUCCACGGUGCAAUUGUCACAUGGGUCUGAUGUAUUCCGAUGA
rnacentral:rRNA from 1 species